AGACUGCAGAGCGAAUGGCGAGUCAUGUGAGAAGUGCCUAGAAAUAAAGGCGUCCUGGACCAAAGAGCCCGCGUGCUACUGGUAUGUAAACACCAGCACCUGUCGUGCACUUCCGUCUGGACAGGACAAACCACCUGAGGCGUACAGACCCUACUCCAAGUGGGGGGGUUGGAGCUUCUGCUCGCCCGGUAUGUCUCCCGCCACUUUCUGGUUCAUAAUCGUCGGUCUGCCCAUCUUGGGGGCAGCUCUCGUCUGCACUGGUUGUCUGUGGGUUUGUGGGUGCCUUCCAGACUGGUGCGACAAGACACCGUUAGUACUUUUCUACUUGAAUUCAGAC